UUUUCAAAAUGCCUCCUAAGCAAAUUUUGUUGCCCCAUUUCCAGAAGGAAAAGCAUCUCAGUCCUUCACAGACCUGGGGAUGCCGGCAGUUUGGGUGAGCCCUGGAUCUUACUAGGGACCCUUUCAAAAGGCUUUCUGAGAAAAAGACAGGAUGAAUGAAUGCUGGCUGACCUGCUGACAAAUUGUUACUAGUGAACACUGAUGAAGACGUUACUUGCUCAACUCAACCUGUGUGUGAUGGUUUAGGAUUCAGUGACCUUUGAUGAUGUGGCUGGGAACUUCACCCAGGAGGAGUGGACUUUACUGGACCUCACUCAGAGAAACCUGUACAGAGAUGUUAUACUGGAGAACUUCCAGAACCUGAUCACAGUAGGAAAAUUAUGCACGUCAUGGGCAGCAUUAUGCAUCUUCCGAUUACCAAUGUUCCUCUAGUAUCUGACAAGGAGCCCUGACGACUGGCACCCAGUGAUUCUUGACUAACAGACAAUGGAAAUCCUUCUCAAGAUUGUUAAUGGAUACCUACAUAUAGCAAAAUAACUGGACCUUAGGUUGCUUGAUGUAAUACAGAAUCCUCCAUGGGGCAUAAUUAAAUAUCCAUCUAGAGGCAAAGGAAAACAAAAGCAUACAGUGUUCUGGUGCUACAGUUGCUACUGCUACAUCUUGAUACCCAAACUAGAGACUUUCUAUAUAUCAAAAUCUCACCAGUUGGUACAUUUUCCCAAAAUCUGUAUGAAACACACAACUGUCCAAAUAAAGUAAAAUUUAAAAGUGAAUGAGGUAAACAUAGAAUUACCAUAAUAUC